rnacentral:rRNA from 1 species
UUAGAGUUUGAUCCUGGCUCAGGACGAACGCUGGCGGCGUGCCUAACACAUGCAAGUCGAACGGACAAGGCCCUUCGGGGCCGAGUUAGUGGCAAACGGGUGAGUAACACGUGAACAACCUGCCUCUUUGAGGGGGAUAACACCUGCAAACGAAUGCUAAUACCGCAUAAGACCACCUUACCUCAUGGCAAAGGGGUCAACGGAGAAAUCAGCAGAGAGAGGGGUUCGCGUCCCAUUAGCUAGUUGGCGGGGCAACGGCCCCCCAAGGCGAUGAUGGGUAACCAAGCUGAGAGGAUGAUCGCCCACAUUGGAACUGAGACACAGUCCAAACUUCUUCGGGAGGCAGCAGAAGGGAAUAUUGGGCAAUGGGCGAAAGCCUGACCCACCCUCACCGCGUGAGGGUAGAAGGCCUUCGGGUUGUAAACCUCUGUCCUUAGUGUUGAAGAAGUGACGGUAGCUAAAGAGGAAGCCCGGGUUAACUACAUGCCACCAGCCGCGAUAAUAGGUAGUGGGCGAGCGUUGUCCGGAAUUACUGGGCGUAAAGGGUGGCUAGGCGGUACUUUAAUUUGGAUGUGAAAUCCCGCGGGUUUAACAUGGUUCCUGCAUCCAAUACUGGAGAACUAGAGUGCAGGAGAGGGAAGCGGAAUUCUUAGUGUAGCGGUGAAAUGUGUAGAUAUUAGGAAGAACACCAGUGGAGAAGGCGUCUUUGUGGACUGUAACUGACGGUGAGUCAAGAAAGCGUGGGGAGCACACAGGAUUAGAUACCCUGGUAGUCCACGCAGUAAACGAUGAUCACUAGCUGUGCGGAGUUGAACCUUUCCGAGCUGGAGUUAACACAAUAAGUGAUCCACAUGGGGAGUACGACCGCAAGGUUGAAACUCAAAGGAAUGGACCGGGGGCCCGCACAAGCACUGGAGUAUGUGGUUUAAUUAGAAGCAACGCGAAGAACCUUUCCAGGUCUUGACAUGGAUUGACGUACCUAGAGAUAGGUAUUCCCUUCGUGGCACGAAGACAGGUGGUGCAUUGUUGUCGUCAGCUCGUGUCGUGAGAUGUUGGGUCAAGUCCCGCAACGAGCGCAACCCUUAAUAUUAGUUCAUACGCAAGAGCACUCUAAUAGGACUGCCGUUGAUAAACCGGAGGAAGGUGGGGAUGACGUCAAAUCAUCAUGCCCUUUAUGACCUGGGCUACACACGUACUACAAUGGCGUUUAACAAAGAGAAGCAAAGCCGGGAGGCGGAGCAAAUUCCCAAAAACCGUCUCAGUUCAGAUUGCAGGCUGCAACUCGCCUGCAUGAAGUCGGAAUUGCUAGUAAUCGUAGGUCAGCAUACUACGGUGAAUACGUUCCCGGGCCUUGUACUCACCGCCCGUCA